AUGCUUCAUCGUCAUCGGAUAGGAUGCACAUGGCAUGGCGCGACACCACACGCCCUCCGUGGAAGGGAGAAGAUGGAGAAACAGAGAAAGCCAUGUCCUUCCCCGGCAUGUGGCCCGGAGUUGUUGCCGACACACCGCAGGGCGGACCCGAGAUGCUCUGCCUGUCAUGUUACCUCCACGUCCGGUCUCCUACCGCUACCAGCCCACCACGCCCGUGCCCCGCCUCGCGCCGCCUGCCGCGCCACUGCGGCCUCCGUCCGCCACAGCGCCACUCUGUUUCUCUGCUUGAACUGCAAUUUUGAGGAGUAG
rnacentral:rRNA from 1 species